UACAGAGGGUGCUAGCGUUGUUCGGAAUCAUUGGGCGUAAAGGGCGUGUAGGCGGUUUGUUAAGUCAUGUGUGAAAUCCCUCGGCUCAACCGGGGAACGACGCAUGAAACUGGCAAGCUAGAGUACCAAAGAGGGGGGUGGAAUUCCCGGUGUAGCGGUGAAAUGCGUAGAUAUCGGGAAGAACACCCGUGGCGAAGGCGGUUCUCUGGGACGGUACUGACGCUGAGACGCGAAAGCGUGGGGAGCGAACAGG
rnacentral:rRNA from 1 species